AGUGAACGCUGGCGGUAGGCCUAACACAUGCAAGUCGAACGGCAGCACAGUAAGAGCUUGCUCUUACGGGUGGCGAGUGGCGGACGGGUGAGGAAUACAUCGGAAUCUACUUUUUCGUGGGGGAUCACGUAGGGGAACUUACGCUAAUACCGCAUACGACCUACGGGUGAAAGCAGGGGAUCUUCGGACCUUGCGCGAUUGAAUGAGCCGAUGUCGGAUUAGCUAGUUGGCGGGGUAAAGGCCCACCAAGGCGACGAUCCGUAGCUGGUCUGAGAGGCUGAUCAGCCACACUGGAACUGAGACACGGUCCAGACUCCUACGGGAGGCAGCAGUGGGGAAUAUUGGACAAUGGGCGCAAGCCUGAUCCAGCCAUACCGCGUGGGUGGAGAAGGCCUUCGGGUUGUAAAGCCCUUUUGUUGGGAAAGAAAAGCAGCAGGUUAAUACCCCGCGGUUCUGACGGUACCCAAAGAAUAAGCACCGGCUAACUUCGUG
rnacentral:rRNA from 1 species